CUUCUUUCAGUACACCUUACAGCAAGAUCCCACUCUAGACCAAUACGGACAGAGGCCAAUGCCUGCAAAUGUUUUUGCCCGGUACAGGGACACCUACCCUCAGUACAGUAGGAAUAUUGCUUCUGAAGCCUGGAGAUAAGUUUUCAAUCAAGCAUCAUUCAAUCAUUUUAUUUUCAUGAAUAAAUCAAACCUGACUGGAAUUGUGUGUUCUUUGUUAAACUGGACAAAACUAAAAUGAAGAAUAUAUACGGGAAAAUGAAUGAAAAUGUGAUUUUUUACAUAGUAGCUACCACUAUUUCAUCUGAAAUGUGCGCUUUAUUUAUAGAAAGCAUAUUUCUUUUCUAAAAUCUAUGGAUGGCCGAUGUGUAAUUAUAAAAUCUAACUUGUUCUAUUGAGUGAUAGUAUGAUGUGUUUAGUAAAUAAAUAUAUUGUCACAUUAGCGCAAUAACGAGUUAAGUCUUAUUAAAUAUAGAAGGACUUAACCCUUUACUGCACUAAGGUGACGAAUUAUGUCAGUCUAUAUGCCCAAAUAUUUCCGUUUUCGUGAAGAAAUACAUGUGCACUGAGUGAUAAAUUUACUACUAUAUGUUUUAUACAAUGUAUUUUUAUUAUAAUCAGAAUUGUUAAGUAGACGGUUGUCUGGUGGGCACCGUUUUAGAACAAUUAGACCCAUGUCCCAAACUUUCGGAAAUAGUAUAAUAUUAUAUAGACUGUUGCGUAGACUACUCUCAUUUGCUGUGAAUUCCUUUUAAGUUUUUCGAUGAAAGGAACACGAUGUGUGAGCAGUAUUUGCAAAACUUAGAAACAACUGAUUUGUUCUGAUGAUUUUAAAAAGUGUAAUCGAUUAUUUUAUCUAUUAUUAUACAUUGUAAUUAUUAUUAUUUCAAGGAUAAACGUUUCGAAAAUCUAUAAUCAAAUUUUCGGUUAAAAGGUAGGGAUGUUGCUCUAUCUUUUAUUUCGAAUUUAUUACGUUUGUCUUAUUGCUUAGCAUCUAUAGGUGUUUUGAUAAUUUUAUAAAGAGGGUACAAUUUUUUUUCAGUAUUACUAUUUUCUCUUUUUACAAAACAGUAUUAAAAUAUGUUUGAAUUGUCAAAUCUAUGAAUGAAUUGUGUACAGUAAAGUUAAACAAAUUUAUUUAAAUUUUCGUAGAGGCAAUAUAUUAUAUAUUUAUAUAGUUCUUUUUAUCACAGUAUACUUAAGAAUGCCACAAAUUUGGCAAACUCCUACGCAGUGGUCGCCCUUUGCUUCGCAACUUUCAGCGUAGCCGAGGAGUUUGCCAAUUUGGCUGGUGUUGCUCCCCUUGAUUUUCAAGUUGUAAGGGAGAUAAUCGUUAGGACGGCAAUCUUAUAUUAUAUAGAACUUAAUUACCCGCAUGAUUUAUUUGAUGAGCUCAAACGCACAGGCUGCCUAUGUGUUUAUAACAAUCUUAACUCUCGUUAAUGUCAUUUUAUUUACAAAAUGGCGCCUUAAUAGUAUUAAGUAUUAUUUGUUCUUGUUGAUUUUCUAUGUCUGUGAUAAUCUUUUACUUGUUAUUCAAUACUUGUUUUUUUAUAUUGAAACCCCUAUUACCAGUAUUAAAACCAGAAAUCUACUGGUCUCACACCAUGUACAAUGCUUGUAACGUUCAGUAUUACAUUGUAUUUUUGUUACACAUAUUUCUCGAGUGUGCAUGUUUUAUAUUGAAUCAAAGUGUACUUUAUAUAAAAAAAAGUAUUAAAUCAGUGUUAUGCUCAGUAAAAAAAAGAAAUUUA